CUACGGGUUGCAGCAGUGGGGAAUAUUGCACAAUGGGCGCAAGCCUGAUGCAGCCAUGCCGCGUGUAUGAAGAAGACCUUCGGGUUGUAAAGUACUUUCAGCGGGGAGGAAGGGAGUAAAGUUAAUACCUUUGCUCAUUGACGUUACCCGCAGAAGAAGCACCGGCUAACUCCGUGCCAGCAGCCGCGGUAAUACGGAGGGUGCAAGCGUUAAUCGGAAUUACUGGGCGUAAAGCGCACGCAGGCGGUUUGUUAAGUCAGAUGUGAAAUCCCCGGGCUCAACCUGGGAACUGCAUCUGAUACUGGCAAGCUUGAGUCUCGUAGAGGGGGGUAGAACUCCAGGUGUAGCGGUGAAAUGCGUAGAGAUCUGGAGGAAUACCGGUGGCGAAGGCGGCCCCCUGGACGAAGACUGACGCUCAGGUGCGAAAGCGUGGGGAGCAAACAGGAUUAGAUACCCCGGUAGUC
rnacentral:rRNA from 1 species